rnacentral:rRNA from 1 species
GACGAACGCUGGCGGCGUGCUUAACACAUGCAAGUCGAACGGAAAGGCCCUGCUUUUGUGGGGUGCUCGAGUGGCGAACGGGUGAGUAACACGUGAGUAACCUGCCCUUGACUUUGGGAUAACUUCAGGAAACUGGGGCUAAUACCGGAUAGGAGCUCCUGCUGCAUGGUGGGGGUUGGAAAGUUUCGGCGGUUGGGGAUGGACUCGCGGCUUAUCAGCUUGUUGGUGGGGUAGUGGCUUACCAAGGCUUUGACGGGUAGCCGGCCUGGGAGGGUGACCGGCCACAUUGGGACUGAGAUACGGCCCAGACUCCUACGGGAGGCAGCAGUGGGGAAUAUUGCACAAUGGGCGGAAGCCUGAUGCAGCAGCGCCGCGUGCGGGAUGACGGCCUUCGGGUUGUAAACCGCUUUCGCCUGUGACGAAGCGUGAGUGACGGUAAUGGGUAAAGAAGCACCGGCUAACUACGUG